GAUGAACGCUGGCGGCGUGCCUAAUACAUGCAAGUCGAGCGAACAGACGAGGAGCUUGCUCCUCUGACGUUAGCGGCGGACGGGUGAGUAACACGUGGAUAACCUACCUAUAAGACUGGGAUAACUUCGGGAAACCGGCGCUAAUACCGGAUAAUAUAUUGAACCGCAUGGUUCAAUGGUGAAAGACGGUUUUGCUGUCACUUAUAGAGGGAUCCGCGCCGGAUUAGCUAGUUGGUAAGGUAACGGCUUACCAAGGCAACGAUGCGUAGCCGACCUGAGAGGGUGAUCGGCCACACUGGAGCUGAGACACGGUCCAGACUCCUACGGGAGGCAGCAGUAGGGAAUCUUCCGCAAUGGGCGAAAGCCUGACGGAGCAACGCCGCGUGAGUGAUGAAGGUCUUCGGAUCGUAAAACUCUGUUAUUAGGGAAGAACAAAUGUGUAAGUAACUAUGCACGUCUUGACGGUACCUAAUCAGAAAGCCACGGCUAACUACGUG
rnacentral:rRNA from 1 species